rnacentral:tRNA from 2 species
GCGCCUGUGGCGAAAUUGGUAGACGCGCCAGACUUAGGAUCUGGUGUCUUGCGAUGUGCAGGUUCGAGUCCUGUCAGGCGCACCA